GCUUUGUAGGGCUUCCACUCGUAGUUAUCCAUGCAUCGAGAAUCUUCUCGAAAAGAGCAUCCAAGAGUAGAACUUUCGUUGGAUGGAGGAAAAGAACAUUGUCGUUUUUCCUUAUCAACUUUGUGGGGGGAGAAUAGGCAACGAUCGGCAUGUUUAGAGUGAUGGGCUGAGUAGUGUGGUCCAUCCCGUUGAUGAGACUGCCAUCGAGAUUGCACCACCAUCAACUGUUAACUGUGUCGAGAUAGGAUAGUCGAUGAUCGACGACAUCAAUUUGAGGGAAC
rnacentral:lncRNA from 1 species